GGGCGGGGCGGGCGGGCUGUGGAGAGCUCUGCGCGGGUCAUUUGGGUCCUGGGGGAACAUGGGGGUCAGGACAUUCCCGAGUGUGACCCUGAGGGUGCGCGGCGCCCCUGAAUGAAGGCGCAUCCCCCGUGUUUGCUCCCAGCACCUCCCUGCUGCACUGAUCAACCUCCGGAUGGGUUUUCUGGGCUCUCCGUUCUGUUCCAUUGAUCUGUGUGUUUUAUCUCUGUGGACUUAGGAUAUAAUUUGGAGAAUGUAUUGUAAACUUUUCUGGGGCUGACAUCCCCCUCCCCACGCCAGGUCCAGCAGGCAGGAGGGCAGAGCCGAGUCCCAGUCUCCUGGGGUGCAGGUUCUUACCCAGUAGGUUGCGUGGUGCCUGGGGCUCUGCAUUUCUCACGGGGUCUGAGAUGCUGCCCGUGCUGGGCCUGGGCCCACGUCUGAAGGGUGAGGCAUCACUUACCUGUUGUGCAGCUGAUGUGGCCAUUCAGAGCCUGGAAGAGGGAACUUUGACACCUAGAAACUGCCUCAUGAGGCGACUUCAGACUCCCCUUGAAUAGAACCAGGCUUUCCUGAGCCUUGAGUGACCAAGAGCCACACGGCUGCCACACUCUGGAUACAAUGUCUGCUUUUCAAAAAUGGGUUUGUAGUCACCAUUUCAGUGUAUUGAAACCUGUGACUAUCUCUUUAUCACUAAAGGACACCCCCGAGAUUCCCACAGCAAGGACAGCUGGAUGCUAUCACCAAUGGGGAUGGAAGGUCCUUCAUGGGAAAUCAUCUGAGACACUGAAGGGCCCAUUCCUAAGCUCUUGAGGUCUUUUCUCUACUGAUACCUGGCCCUAAGAGGAUCUCUCCUGUAUUAGAGCGUGAAUAAGCCACACUCAUUCACCUGGGAAGUGGACGUUUUGUCGAUAAUCAACUUUUUAAUAUUUAUAAUCUGUUAAACUGAUAUUACCUCCUCCAUCAUAAAUCCUUUUAUGCUUGCUUUGGAGAGAAGUUGAACAGGUCAGGGAAGGGGAAAGAAAUCGAUGUUUAUUGAGCACCUGCUGGAGAUUACCUGACCCUGUGCAACAAGUCCAUUACUUAAGUUAUGUGAUCUCACUGGUGGCACUGUAGAGACAUUAUUCCUACUCCGUAGUUGAGAAUCCUAAGGUCCAAAGGAGACAGGAACUUGUGUUAAGAUCAUACAAAUAAGGACGAAAGUCAGGGAUUUUUGGACUACAUAUUUUUGGCCAAAUCAGAGAUUGUCAAAUGAGGCUAAUCUGGAAACCCCCUGAAGGCCAGCGGGAGGGGAGGAGUGUGGGCAACCCUGUCCAUCCUCAGAACAGCUCCGUGGGUGUUGGACUUCCUCCUUCAUAAGGAAAGAGCCUCAGGUUAAAAUAAAAGUUUAAUGUAUCAUUGUGUUACAUGCAGAUGCUGUCUUUAAUGUUGCACAUGAUUUCCUUAAUAGUUUUAGAAAUAGCUCUAAUCCCAAAUGUGAUUGCUACUCACAGGAGACUGCAUUUCAAAAUAGCCUUUUCUGUAAUUAUUCCCAUACAGCAGAUUUAGCUGCUGUACCUACCAGAAGGAAUUCCUGGAGAUCUAGAACAGCUGAUAAGAAAGCAAUGCCUCAGCAGUGCCUGCAGUAUUAUUCAGGAUAAGACCCCCCCCUUUGACUGUUAAAGAUUUGAUCUAUGUCAUCUAUACAAGUGGGAAACACACUAGAAGCAGUGACUGGUGUCCUCAGGAUGUUGGUAUUCACGGUGAUUGUUUUGUUAUUCAUGUUUCCUCUGUUGAUAAGUUUUUCAGUGAACUUGUAUCAUUUUGUGAUUAGAUUUUAAAAAGGUUAUUUACAUAGUCCUAAAGUUUAGAUUCUUGCACAUUGCUCUUAGUAAUUUUCAGUAUUGAAGAGCACACAUCCAUUCUCUGAAACAAUCUCGAUUAUGUUUGUUAUUCCAAUGAACCGAAUGUGAAGUUGAGUGUGAAGAUGUAUGUCCUACUUUAACAAAAUGCUCUGGAGAGCGAGGCAGCGCUCCCGCCUGCCUGUGACUGUGCAGGUGUUUCUUUUCACAGACCUUUGGCGUUUUCAGCUCUCUCUGCCCGCUGGUGUCUGUGCACUGUCCUGUACUUACCUUCACUUUUAAAUUGUGCUUUGGAUAUAAACAAAAUGCAGAACAAUUCUCUGGAGAUAAAAAUAGGUCUAUUUCAUCCUGAUACAUGUUCUUAAACAUAUUGUGGCAAGCGUUUCUCUAUCCCAGCACCAGCUGUGAUCACCUCCUAUCUUCAUUAGGUUUGCCAUAGUGGGGGUAGGGCCAGCUCCAAACAGCAGCCUUAGCAAAAUACAUUUCUUUGCUUUAAUAGGUGUACUUAUAUUGCACCAAAUAAAAGGUGGUGCAGGCACACCUUGAAGAUAUUGUUGGUUCAUUUCCAGAAUACCACGGCAACCCUAAUAUUGCAUAAAUAAAGUCAUUACUUUUUUGUUGGUUUCCUGGUGUGAGUGAAAAUUGUUUGCUCUAUAGUGUCGUCUAUUAGGUAUGCAGUAGUAUUUUGUCUAACGGGAAAAUAGCCUAAUUAGAUAUCACCGAGACAUGAGGUGAACAUAUGUUUUUUGGGAAAUGGUGCUGCUGGACUUAGCCCAGUCCAGGUUGCCACACACCUUCAAUUUGUGAAAAGCAGUAUCUGAUAAAGCAAAGCAAGCAGGAUGGGGUGUGCCUUUAUAGACACUUCUGAGAACAAUCCUUUGGGUUUUAAUAAAGUAUACACAUCUGGAUAAGUGGACUUCAAUUUAAUGAUGAUGUUUAUAUGUAACUAUUUUUUUUCAGCAGUUAUGUCAGCACAGGAGUGUGUGUAUUCUUUUCCAUGAUAGAAAGUACGCUGAACACUCAAGGUAGUGAACAAGGGUUAGCUAAAUGCCUGCAGUCUGCCAGGGACUGGGCUAUACACAAAGCCUCUUUAAAAUUUAUUGUGGUCUUUUAAAAAUGUCAAAAACUUAUAGCUAUCAUUGGUUGAAUCUCAGUUGUAAGUAGAAAAUAGGGAGUUUAGUUUUUAUUAUGCUAUUGAACAGCUACAGAGGAAGCACAUAUGACUUGGCUUCUGCCUAAAUUCUUCCCCAGGCUGUAAAUCCAUGUGUCUGCAGUGAAGUAGCCAGUACUCCCUGCCACCACACUCUGAUCCUUUUGCUCCCCAAACUGGACAUUACUGUUGACAUUUGGGAUCAUGGUACCAUUGCUGUGCUUUAUUGUUUUGAAUCAUUGGUGUUUUGUUAUUUAUCUUUUUAAAACACUUAUUUAUUAUGCACAAAAGAUCUAGGGCACAGGCCAGAGAAGCAGGGGGUGGGAGGACUCACGAGAGACAGAGCGGGGAACAGAACAGGCAGACCAAUUGAAAUACACAGCUGAAGGUAGCAGCGGGUGAGACAAGAGAGGUCUGCCUUGCCAGGUGGGACACCCGCUGGCCGGCCGGGGAUCAAACUGGGGCUGUGGGGACUGUAGACCCCCUCAUAGUGCGGUGCUCAACCCCCAACCCCCUGUGCCACCAGGGUGGCCCUAGAUUUAUUUUUUUAAUAUUUUAUUUUAUAUAAUUCUUACAACAUUCCUAUUUUUAUUUUUAUUUAUUUAUGCAUUUUUAUUUAUGCAUACAAGAACUCUACCAAUUUCUAAUUCAAAGUUUGCUUUUUUUGUUUAAAGAUUUAUUUUUGUGUAGAAGACCUGGGGUGCAGGCCAGCAGUGUCGGGUGAUGAGAGGAUUUACCAGUGACAGAGUGGGGAGCAGAACAGACGGAUAUACUGAAAUACACUGCUCAGGGGAGCAGCAGGCUUCACUGAUUAGGGAUGAAGAAGGUUGUGGCUGACACCCCAGGAUGCCAAAGCUGCUGCAGCCGGUGUGCUCAUGAACAAAAGGGCACUGAGAAGCCAGUGUCUUGUCUUAAGUACCUUCCUGUGUGGAACUCAGAACCCCAAGGAAACAGGUGAGUGUCUGAGUUGAUGCCUGGUGAGCAGCAGACCAGGUCAGCUUGCCAAGGAGCGGCCCUCAGCCGUGUUCCUCUGACACCUUGGGAUCACAGAGCUGUAAGCAUGAGGCAGCUCUGGAGCUGUGGCUGCCUAGGCCUUUUCCUAUCAGAAUAGCAUCUGACAAUCAUAUUAUUUACUCUCUCAAUGACCUCUUUUUGAAGUGUGCUUGCCUGCCGUGCAGAAGCUCUUUGCUAUGCUAUGAGGCACUGGGUACAGUCAGAAGCACGGGAGGGUGAGAGAAUUCACCAGAGCCAGAGCGGGGAGGAGAACAGGCGGGCUGAGGAAGUACACUGCUGAGAGGAGCAGCGGGCGGCAGGAGAAGUCUGUGCAGUAUGUGGAACCCUCCCGGCGGCCAGGGAUCGAACCAGCACUGUGGAGGCUGCGGGCAGCUUGGCAACCAGAGCUCAACCGCUGUGCCACCAGGGGGGCCCACAAAGGAGACUAUUUUACAAUAGUAUACACAUUCAUUUCACAAAGCAAAAGGAAAGUAAGAGGGAUCAUUUGCAUGUCUGGACCUGGGAUUUCUUGCAUAGCACUCCAACAAUAAACAAAAUUCUUGCCAGGUCCCCAUACCAAAAGCUUUCCCUAUGGUCCUUGUGCCCCAGAAGAUGAGUGAUCUUGGCUCUCUUUUCCUUAUAUAAUAAUUUUCUUCUUUUCUGGAUUUAUUGGACUGCUUUCUAUGGAAAUUUUCUUCUUUCUCCAAUUUCUCUCUCUCUCUCUCUAGUCUAUAGGUAGAGUGUACCAAUGAUGUUCCUGAUGCUGGUUUUCAUGGAAAGUCUUGUAGAGUUAUCCUUUUAGAACGCUCAGGUAACCACACCAGGAUGAGGCCCAGAUCCUAGCACCUCUUAACAAGUUUCUGUCAUGGACCGUGCAUAUGUGGGGAUGGACCCGACUUACAUUUCUGGAGGACUGUAGUGCAAGGAGAGGAUGAAAUAACGUAUUCAGAAUAGAGAUAAAAUAUACGGGUCACAAAUAUCCUAACCUGCAGGAUUCUCCUACAGAGACAAGAGAGUAAAAAUGUUCUGCCCAGACAAACAAAAGCUGAAGAAGUGGUCCACUAACAAAUCUUCCCUGAAAGAAAUGUUAACAAGAGAUCCCCUGUAUAAUUUGAAGAGAAAAGAAAAAAGAAAAAGCUGAGCAGGGAAAUAGAACCAGAAAACUAAAGUGAAAGUGGCAGUAGAAGAUCCUCUAUAGAGCUCACCAAUCCAAAGGCAGAGAGAGGCCAGCCUCGGUUCAGGAAACAAAACCCAAGAUUGCACAGUCCCCAGGAGACCCUUCUGACCCCCCAAAAUAAACACAGGCUCCCGGCUGAAGGCUGAGUAUUACACCAAACCACGGAACAGACUCAGGGAUGUCAGAGUCUGGGCCAAAGUAUAUUGUGCUGCACCAUGAUGUGCAACAAGAAACAUUCUAUGUGGAGCCGAGAGCCUUCAUUUUUCUCACAAUAUAUUUUGAAUAGCAGCUGCUUUGUAAUGUUUGCAAUAGGAUCCAUGUCAGGAUCUGCAGGUAAAUGAUGUUUUAGUCAUGCUUUUAUUUUACUUAUUUUUUUAAAGAUUUAUUUAUUUUUAUACAAGAACCAGGGUACAGGCCAGAUGCACUGGAGGGUGAGAGCAUUCACCGGAGACAGAGCGGGGAACAGAACAGGCAGACUGACGAAAUACACACUGCUGAGGGGAGCAGCAGGCAAGACAGGAGAGGUCUGCCGCGCCAUGUGGGAGACUCGCCGGCCGGCCAGGAUUGAACCAGCGCUGCAGAGGCUGCGGACACCUUCACAGCAUGGCUCUCAACCACCUGCGCCACCAGGAAGGCCAAUUUUUACUUAUUUUUUAAACAGAUUUCUUUACUUAUGAACACAAGAGCUGGGGUGCAGCCAGAGGUGCGGGGGUGGGGGCAAGGGGAUUCACCAGAGACAGCGCGGGGAACAGAGCAGGUGAACUGCCUGAAAUCCACUGCUGAGGGGAGCAGCGGGGAGACAGGAGAGGUCUGCGGCGCCCUAUGGGUCACCUUCCUGCCUGGGGAUGUGAUGUUGGCACCAGAUGAUGUGACGAGUCCCUUCACGGUCGCCAAAAUGUUGUAGGUGUAGAGUGCGUGCGGGUCCUGGGGGUCACUCUGGGAAAGGUGCCCCCAGAGCUCCCGUUCCAGCGGGACACAACGAGUUCCCCAGCCACGUUUCUCCAUGAGACAGAGACACUAGUUACAUUAAAGGGCAGAUUUAGGGCCUUUCCUGGUGGCGCAGCGGUUGAGCGCUGGGCCGUGGUGCUGCCUGCAGCCUCUGCAGCGCCUGUUCGUUCCCUGGCCGCUGGCGAGGGUCCCACAAAAAAACAGGGCAGAUUUAUUAGGGAAAGGGAAAGGGACAGGUUUUGCUGAGAGAGGCCUGCAUGGUUGCAGGCGGGCGGCCUUGACAGGUCACAGCAGGCAGGAGGCUGCUGCCCUACAGAGGGAGAGAGUUGAUGAGAAGAGGCACCUGCAUAGUCACGGGUGGGCAGAGGGAUGGCUGCCUUGAGCCCGUGCAGAGACUGCUCUGAUACAGCCCUUUUCUCUUUGGGAGGGUCACUCCUCCAUGGAGUGGCUGUUUGUUGCUGAUGUCAGGUAACAGGCAACACUAGAAAGGGACCAGAGAUUCCAGGGUGGGCCCCAUCUCCAUAUCCUUCCCCUCAGGCCUGUGCGCCACUCCCUAGAGCUUCGGAUCCUGCUCAGGUGUCCUGCCCUGUGACUAGGCACUGGCGCCUAAGGGUCUGACCUCCACAGCUGGGUUAAUGGUCCUGUUAUUCCCCUCGACCCCCACCUCCUUGCGUGAGUCAGGUUUUAGUCGCGUGAGGCCUCCUUUCCAGUCUUUCCAUCAGAUGGAACUCGAGCUGCAGAGGCUGCGGAUGGCCUCACAGUGUGGUGCUUAACCCCUGCACCAUCAGGGAGGCCCCACGCCUUGCUUUUAUGUCAGCUUCAGGUAAGGGGAUUUUUAACAAUGAUUAAAAAAAAAUCUUUCCCAGAAAUUCAAGCAACCUUGUUUGCUGUUUUAAUGACUUGUGGAUAUUUUAGGGUCUGGCUGUGGCAGACACUGUCAGUGAAAGGCUGGGAGUCGCGGAGCCUGCAACAGACCCGCCUGUGCCUCCUGCCCUGGAGUUAUGUUGGGACAAGGCCUGGGGAUGGACUAAAAUUUUCAGGGAGUGACUGGCCAGGAGCCUGACUUGUGCCCCUCAGAUGACCAGGUGAACUCUUAGAAGUCUCCUGAUUCUCUACUCCCUGCUUGCUUCAAGUUGUAAAUGUGCCCCUUCUGGGGCCAUGGGUGCUCUGUCACCCAAUGGCUCGGGGCUCGGACUUUGGAAAAAGAUCACCUCUGGGCCUGCGGGAUAAAUAAAGAUGAAUUUUUUCCAUAACCUCUUACAAUCUAAAAAUCAAAAGGUAGAAGGUCCUAACUCAAUGCAAAUAAAGCGAGGUGUGUUAAGAAUUGUAUUUAAAACAGGACCUCCCCUGGUGGCGAAGGUGGUUGUAGGUGGUUGAGCGCAGCGCUGUGAAGCUGUCUGCAGCCUCUGCAGCACCCGUUCGAUCCCGGCUGGCCGGAGUGGGUCCCACGUGGCGCAGCAGACCUCUCCUGUCAUGCCUGCUGCUGCCCUCAGCAAUGUAUUUCAGUAGAUCUCCCUGUUCUGUUCCCCACUCUGUCUCUGGUGAAUCCUCUCACCCCCCACAUCUCUGGCCUGUACCCCAGUUCUUGUGUGCAUAAAUAAAUAAAUCUUAAAAGAUUAUUUAUGCACUCAAGAACUGGGUUGUAAGCCAGAGAUGGGGGUUGUGUUUGAGAGGAUUCACCAGAGACAGAGUGGGGGGCAGAACAGGCAGACUGACUGAAACACACUGCUGAGGGGAGCAGCGGGGAGACAGGAGAUGUCUGCUGCACCAUGUGGGUCAGCUCCCUGGACAGGGAUGGUACUCGUGCUGCAGUUGCUGGUGCUGGUGCUUUAUAGUGCAGCGUCCUAACCCCUCGCGCCCACAGGGAGGUCCCUCUCUACUAUUCUUUUUUUUUUCCCUUUUGGUUGUAAAGGCAAUGAACGAGUCACAGGGAGAAGCUUUGUUAUACAAAAUUUUGUUUUAUGAAAUAUCCAUGCCCCAUUCAUUAUUUUUCCUGCAUCUUUUGUAGACAAAGACAACUUUCUUGUAUUUGUAAGCUGGAAGGGCUCAGACUUUGAAGGAGUGUCUUGUUUUCACUUUUAUUUUUAAUUGAAGCUAUAUACAGCUGUGGAUUAAACAGAAUAAAUUUCUAAAUUUAAAAAUGAAGAAUAGGGGCAAAAGUUGUUUAUUUGGGUUGAAAAGCUAGCCGGAGCACAGGUUCAGGCUAGAAAGCCAAACACCCUCACUAAAAAAAAAAAAAAAUGAGGUGACCUUGACGUGAACUCCCAUCACUGCUGCUCUGCCCUUGCCUGUGUGACUAGCGGGAGACCAUGUUUCAUCCUAAAAUGUUUUUCUGUAACUACAUGGAAUUCUUCAGCCUUUUAAAAAAUUACUUUCCCCUGCCAAGGAGCAAGGAGGUCAUUUUACCAAUGGAGUUUCCAUCAGCUUCUGUUACUGGUCCUGAUAAUGAUAGGGAGUUGUGUAUAUUAUAGAAAAUGUGAAGAGUAGAAUAAAAUAGGAUGAACUGUAUCAAAAAGUAUUCUUAUGACUUAGUACAUUUCCUUCCUAGUUUUUCCCCUAUAUUGGCACUUGCCUGUGUAGAAGGUGGGAAGUAGCUUGAUAAUUAUAAAAUGAGCUUCCAUUAAAUAGGUCAAGGAAUGUAAAGUCACAUCAUCGCAUGAUCUUCGUCCAUAAAGAAGCCCCUAUAUGGCUGUCACCCAUUUUUUCUUGGCUCUUCACUACAUAUCCUGGUAUGUAUCACUGCAUGUAUCAUUAAACCUGAUUUUAAUUUUGUCUGGUAUUGAAUAUUUAAAUAAAUUAAAUCCUGUUAUGUUUCUGUCUUGAAUGUCACUCAACAGUAUGAAGGCAAGACUAGUCCACAUUUUGGAUGCAGCUUGAGGCUUUUAUUUGCACUUCUGUGUAAUAUUCCACUCGAUGUACAGUUGGUUUACAUUGUGUUCUACUCACACAUAAGGGUUAAGGAGAGUGUGCUUACAUCAUCGCUAAAAUUUUAUAUUCUACUUCAUCAUUUAACACUGCACUAUAAGUACUGUCCACAGCAUUAAAAACUAUUCAGUGUUACUGUAUCUAUCCAGCCUUUACAUUUAAUUUCGUGUAUAUUGGGGUUUUUAAAUUUAGUUUCCAAUCAUUUUACUGUAAAUAAAGUGUUCUCUGAAUUUGAACAGUUCUUUAGGUCAUUUCCAAAAAAAAUUACUAUUUACAUUAAACAUUCAAGUAUUUUAAAUUCAAAGUUCCCUGCAGAGGGGUUGUGAACUUACUUCUCAGGAAUAGUAAGGACAGAUUUCCUAGUCUCACUAACAUUUUAGUCUAUCCGGUUUUCCUCUUCAAGGCUCUGGACACACAAGCCCACCGUGCUCUACUGCUCCUGCCUCUGCGCCGGGCCCGCCCCUUCCCCGUGGGCUGUCAUGGCUGUUCCCUGCGCCACAGGCCACUCGACUCUGCCCCACAGGCCCCCUUCGUGGUACCCGAGCUUGGCCACCUGGGCCUUUCCUUCCCUUUGGCCACUUGUCAGGGAUUUGCUGUCUCGCCACUGAUGGCCACCAGGCGGCGCCCUCCCCCGUUAUUUUUCACAUGGUCCUCACCGCCCUUUCUAUUGCCUGAAACACACCGCUGCAUCUUAUUCACAGUCCAGUCCGUACAUUAUCCCGUGCUCAGCCGCGCCACCUCAUUCCUCCUCCGGCUUCCCGCCUUACUCCAUCUUUCUCACCCCUGCUGGCGCUUUACCUUACCCAUCCCACUGCCAUCAUCAUUCUGAGUUUCCCCCAACUUAUCCCUCUGGGUCACAAGGCGGCGCCACCCGCGCCUUCAUUACGCCGCGGGGAGCCGCUCUUUGCGCAGCCACUUCCAGUCCGCCGAAUUUCAGACCGCGAUUUUCCCACGAUACCACCCCAGUCCACGAGGCGGCAACAUUAGUUCCUCUACUUCUUUAAUGUGCCCUUGGGAGCCGCUCUUGGCGCGGCCUCUCGCGUUCUGCCUGGUGCACCCUGGGAGUCUCAAGAGUGAUGACGUAAUUGCCGAGGGCGCAUUUAAAGGGUACAUACAGCAAAGGGCUGACAAAGGACCUGCCAGAGGCCUGAAAGCGCCGCUGGCCGCGCCGGACAAUGGCGGGAGCUGGGACAAGUGAGGCCCGCGACGCGACGCGACGCGACGCAGGGGGAGGGCGGGAGGCUUGAGCAGGACAGCGGGACAGAACAAAGGAUGGCAGGAGAGGAAAUCUGUCCUCACCAUUCCUGAGAAAUAAGUUCACAGCACCUCUGCAGGGAACUUUGAAUUUAAUAUAUUUACCCUUUU